rnacentral:rRNA from 1 species
AACUAGCAUAUCAAUAAGCGGAGGAAAAGAAACCAACAGGGAUUGCCUCAGUAACGGCGAGUGAAGCGGCAUCAGCUCAAAUUUGAAAUCUGGCUCUUUUAGAGUCCGAGUUGUAAUUUGCAGAGGGCGCUUUGGCAUAGGCAGCGAUUCAAGUCCCUUGGAACAGGGCGUCACAGAGGGUGAGAAUCCCGUACGUGGUCGCUAGCUCUUGCCGUGUAAAGCCCCUUCGACGAGUCGAGUUGUUUGGGAAUGCAGCUCUAAAUGGGAGGUAAAUUUCUUCUAAAGCUAAAUAUUGGCCAGAGACCGAUAGCGCACAAGUAGAGUGAUCGAAAGAUGAAAAGCACUUUGGAAAGAGAGUCAAAAAGCACGUGAAAUUGUUGAAAGGGAAGCGCUUGCAGCCAGACUUGCCUGUAGUUGCUCAUCCGGGCUCUUGCCCGGUGCACUCUUCUGUAGGCAGGCCAGCAUCAGUUUGGGCGGUUGGAUAAAGGUCUCUGUCAUGUACCUCUCUUCGGGGAGGCCUUAUAGGGGAGACGACAUACAACCAGCCUGGACUGAGGUCCGCGCAUUCGUGCUAGGAUGCUGGCGUAAUGGCUGUAAGCGGCCCGUCUUGAAACACGGACCAAGGAGUCUAACAUCUAUGCGAGUGUUUGGGUGUCAAGCCCGAGCGCGUAAUGAAAGUGAACGGAGGUGGGAACCCUUUUUUGGGUGCACCAUCGACCGAUCCUGAAGUUUUCGGAAGGAUUUGAGUAAGAGCAUGGCUGUUGGGACCCGAAAGAUGGUGAACUAUGCUUGAAUAGGGUGAAGCCAGAGGAAACUCUGGUGGAGGCUCGCAGCGGUUCUGACGUGCAAAUCGAUCGUCAAAUUUGGGCAUAGGGGCGAAAGACUAAUCGAACUAUCUAGUAGCUGGUUCCUGCCGAGUUCCCCCC